rnacentral:rRNA from 1 species
GAUGAACGCUGGCGGCGUGCCUAAUACAUGCAAGUCGAGCGAACAGACGAGGAGCUUGCUCCUCUGACGUUAGCGGCGGACGGGUGAGUAACACGUGGAUAACCUACCUAUAAGACUGGGAUAACUUCGGGAAACCGGAGCUAAUACCGGAUAAUAUAUUGAACCGCAUGGUUCAAUAGUGAAAGACGGUUUUGCUGUCACUUAUAGAUGGAUCCGCGCCGCAUUAGCUAGUUGGUAAGGUAACGGCUUACCAAGGCAACGAUGCGUAGACGACCUGAGAGGGUGAUCGGCCACACUGGAACUGAGACACGGUCCAGACUCCUACGGGAGGCAGCAGUAGGGAAUCUUCCGCAAUGGGCGAAAGCCUGACGGAGCAACGCCGCGUGAGUGAUGAAGGUCUUCGGAUCGUAAAACUCUGUUAUUAGGGAAGAACAAGUGUGUAAGUAACUAUGCACGUCUUGACGGUACCUAAUCAGAAAGCCACGGCUAACUACGUG